AUAAUACUCCCUCCAUCCAAAAUUACUUGUCAUCAAAAUGGAUGUGUCUAGAACUAAAAUACAUCUAGAUACAUCCAUUUCAAUGACAAGUAUUUUCGGAUGGAGGGAGUAGUAG
rnacentral:pre_miRNA from 1 species